UACGUAGGGGGCAAGCGUUGUCCGGAUUAUUGGGCGUAAAGAGCGUGUAGGCGGUUUGGUAGGUCCGCUGUGAAAACUCGAGGCUCAACCUCGAGACGCCGGUGGAAACCAUCAGACUAGAGUCCGGAAGAGGAGAGUGGAAUUCCGUGGUGUAGCGGUGAAAUGCGCAGAUAUCAGGAAGAACACCCGUGGCUAAGGCGGCGUCUCUAGUACGGUACUGACGCUGAGACGCGAAAGCGUGGGGAGCGAACAGG
rnacentral:rRNA from 1 species